rnacentral:lncRNA from 1 species
GCUUUAAAGUCAUCUGCUAAAAACAACAACAACAACAACAAACGCUUGCCUUCACUAAUGGGGAUAUUGAGGCUCAGAGAGCAUAAGUGAGUUAUAUGCUGGAAGUUAGAAUAGGCUUGAAUCAGGAAUAGGUUCCAGGUGUCCACAUGUUACUGUCAGAAGGAACUAUACAAAUUUGUUAGUUUUACUCUUCUUCUUUCCCCAAAGAGAAUUUGAUAUGAAUUCUAGGAAUCCUGGCUUCUUCCCAGAAUAUAGUCUUUUUUUCACUUAUCUUUUUUUGAAUGAAUCAAGAACUCCUUUAGCGUUUUAAAUAUUACCGAUGCCAUAUAGGAAAUUAUUAGUGCCAGGCAUUGGGUAUAUAGAGAUGUAUGUAUCAAGAAUAUUAACGAAAAGUGGACUUAAUUCCAGUGCCACCUAUUAAUGGGUUUAAUUUCUUCAAUUUCUAAUAGCUGUUAGCUGCUGUAUGGAUCCAUACGUGCUGAAUGGGAUGUCUUGAGGUUAUCAGCUUCCUGCUGACAGCCAAAAUGGUCUCAGGACUUUUUAGGGAGCAUCAGCAUAGUCUAAGUGAAGAUUGACGUGUGUUUGUGUAUAAAAUCUGACACAGCUUUGGAAGAAAGGAGAAACUGGUUUUUAUGCUUAACUGCCUAAUAAACUAUGCGAUUUGGGGAACAUUACAUUUUCUCCCUGAACCUUGGCUUUGUUAAACUAUGUUCCCCAGGUACUUUGACAUCUAAAGAACAGUUGAUGACUCCCUGAAUUUAUCAUUAAGAGUUGAUGGAAUGAUAGGAAUUAUAACUAAAGAUGUUGAGCAGAUGACAUUUAUAAGUUUAAUUAUUUUCAUUAUGACCAUAAUUAUAGUCACAGGCCCUUGAAAUAUAAGAGCAUUUCACUGAGUAAUUGCUUAUUAUAUCCUGGUGUUAAUGGGCACCAAGGCCAGGCUUUUGCUUUUAUUGGCCACACAGGUGAUGUUUCUCCAUUAUUCCCUUGCAUCACCAUAUUGAAAGACAUGGGUCAGUGUUAUUUCUACAAGAAGAACAAAUUAUGUAAACUCUGAAGACAUCCCCAGACUGAAAAUACAGACAGAAGCAUUCUAGUGUGAGUUCCCCUGUUUAUGAGAGCUUGAAUUAAUCAUAGAAUUACUGGACGUCAGUUCCUACCAUUGUAACGUGAAGUUCUUGUGCCAGAUUAUUUCAUAGCUAGAGGACUUGCAUAUACUUCCUUCACUAGGGUAGUUCUUAACCUUGGCCAACUAAGUAGGCUGUGGGACUAAAAUGUGAGUUUCAUUUCCUUGUGCUUUGAAAUUUAACACCCUCUGGUGUACCGUGUGGAGGAGUAUUGUGAGAUUUCACCCCCGUACAGGACACUAUCAUCUAUUUGUGAUAGCUGUUAGGGUGGAAUUGCAUGCCCUGUGGUACCUUUUAUUAAGCUCAUGCUAAUUGCUAGAAUUUUUCUAGGCAUCGAGUGUCUUGGCAUAUUGAUGAGAGUGGUUGCUCCUCUAUAAUGUGUUACCAGGGGGAGCGUUAGGAUGUGGGAGGAGCCUAGGGUAAAUACUUGAAUUUUGUCUUGAGAUUCAUCAUUAUAUAUCAUUUUUAGGCAUCUACUGUCUUCCAAACACUAUGCAGUACAUACUAUUGUAUCUGAAAAUAAUACACCUAUAAACCGUAAUGAGAUACUAGUUCAGCUAUAUCAAUGAGAAGGCAGAAUUUAGGAGAAAAUAAGUAACUGAUUUUCAAAGUUUUCUAAUUUGCAUAAGAUGUUUUAUGAACAAAUCAACAGUUCCAGGAUUUCAACCUGCCCCUUACUGUUUCAAAGUCUGCCUUUGAAUAUGCAGAAAGCAAUAUUGCCAUAAUAUUAUUAAAAUCAGUAAAGUCUAUUUCAGGUAGGAUAUUGUGGAAUUACUUAAUUUUAUCAAUGAAGUAACUGAGAUCCAAAGCUAUUGAAAAGUUUACCUUCCCAAGGCAAGCAAAUGCCAGCCCUCGCAAUAGAUACUCAGAAUCCCUAGCUACCAAACCAAUAGUCUCUUACAAGAAGGAGAUUUUGUUAGUAAACAUAGUUCACCCCUGCCCCCAUGUGGAGAGUGCUUAUUAUAUGAGUUUACAGAUGAUGGCAUCAAGAAGAAAAGGGGAGAGUGUUUGUGUUGAUUGAGCACUUAUUUUGUGGAAGUUUUUGGAUGAGUCAAUUCUACCUUUAAUCCCCCUAAAGUCAUGAUGCGGCAGAGGCAGGCAGAGAUGCUGAUGUCAGAGGUUACUAGGUUUCAGAAGAGAGCAGAGACAAUUCAAAUUCUAUAUGGUUUGACUCAGAUUCUUCAGACGAAACACUUUGCAAAGUUUAAAUUUUUAGUUAAAUUUUAAAUGUUAGCCAGUUUGAAUUAUAGGAUAUAUAUGUCACCUCAUUAUUUGUUAAAUUUUAUAAUACUUCUCAAGUUCCUUCAUUCUCAUUUCUUCCCAGAAGACAAUAGUUUCUUUGAACUAUUACUGUUACAGUUUUGUUACGAGUCAUUAUUUGAGGUGUAAAUUGUGCAUAUUUGAAUCAUCUGUAAGCUUCUGCAAUCUAUAUUGAUGAGUUUGUCCUAUUGUGGCUCUAAAAUAGUGAUAAUAGCAGGAAAUGCAAUUCCUUUGAGUGUUUCAAAUACCUACAUAAGAGAUACACAUUCACAGAAUUGUGAAGUUUAAUUGUUGUUUGAAAAUUAAUGAUAUUAGCUUAUUGAUGUCAUCAUAGAUAUAUUUUUAGUAUCUUUAUUGUUUUGACUUUAAUGUAAGGCAGUGCAUAUUUGAAAGUGAAUUUAAUGGAUUCAUAGCAGAGAAGCUUAAAUUAUUCUGGUCAGUCUAGACUCAAUUAAGGGAGGAAGAGGGCUUAAAUAGAUUAAAUAGAUGAUAAACUGUUAGAAAGUAUUCUACUAAUUCUUAGCAAGAGUUUAGGCAGUCAAAUAUAACACCAGGCAGAGAGAGAGAGUAGUUGCUUCUCUAAUUUAGAGAAGGGAAUGGAGAUACGUAGUUCAGUACAUUGGACAGUUCUUUGGAAGUCAAGCGAAAAACACAACUGGAAAGACAAGUUCUACUGAGGGUUUUUACAUUCAGGUCUUGCUCUGAAUGCUCAAUCUAUUGAUUCCCUUAGGACGAGUUUUUUUCUUGAGAACGACCUAUAGGCAUUGCCUCUGUGGGGACUGUGCCUCAUUUUUUCAUGUGAAUAGAUAUUCUUAAGGAAAACACUCUAAACUCAGUUGCUCUUUUUGCUCUGGCUAUAGAAGAGCUGCAUGCCAUAAACACUUUGUAGGUUAAUUUUUUAGUUUAAAAAUUAUACACUAUAACUGUAUUUUGUUAAUAUUUUAAAAACUUAGAAUAAUUUCAUUUAACAAAAAAGCAGGAGUUCCCAUUGUGGCUCAGUGGUAAUGAACCUGAUUAGUACCAUGAGGAUGUAGGUUUGAUCCCUAGCCUUGCUCACCGGCUUAAGAAUCUGGUAUUGCUGUGAGCUGCAGUGUAUGUUACAGACGUGGCUUAGAUCCCACGUUGCUGUGGGUGUGGUGUAGGCUGACAACUGCAGCUCUGAUUUGACCCCUAGCCUGGGAACUUCCAUAUGCUGUGGGUGUCGCCCUAAAAUG